rnacentral:rRNA from 1 species
GACGAACGCUGGCGGCGUGCUUAACACAUGCAAGUCGAACGGAAAGGCCCUGCUUUUGUGGGGUGCUCGAGUGGCGAACGGGUGAGUAACACGUGAGUAACCUGCCCUUGACUUUGGGAUAACUUCAGGAAACUGGGGCUAAUACCGGAUAUGAGCUCCUGCUGCAUGGUGGGGGUUGGAAAGUUUCGGCGGUUGGGGAUGGACUCGCGGCUUAUCAGCUUGUUGGUGGGGUAGUGGCUUACCAAGGCUUUGACGGGUAGCCGGCCUGAGAGGGUGACCGGCCACCAUGGGACUGGGAGAGGGACCAGAAGGGUACGGGAGGCAGCGGUGGGGAAUAUUGCACAAUGGGCGGAAGCGUGAUGCAGCGACGCCGCGUGCGGGAUGACGGCCUUCGGGUUGUAAACCGCUUUCGCCUGUGACGAGGCGGGAGUGACGGUAAUGGGUAAAGAAGCACCGGCUAACUACGUG